rnacentral:rRNA from 1 species
AUUAAACGCUGGCGGCAUGCUUUACACAUGCAAGUCGAACGGUAACAGGUUAAGCUGACGAGUGGCGAACGGGUGAGUAAUGCAUCGGAACGUGCCCGAUCGUGGGGGAUAACGCAGCGAAAGCUGCGCUAAUACCGCAUACGAUCUGAGGAUGAAAGCGGGGGACCGUAAGGCCUCGCGCGAUCGGAGCGGCCGAUGUCAGAUUAGGUAGUUGGUGGGGUAAAGGCUCACAAAGCCGACGAUCUGUAGCUGGUCUGAGAGGACGACCAGCCACACGGGGACUGAGACACGGCCCAGACUCCUACGGGAGGCAGCAGUGGGGAAUUUUGGACAAUGGGCGAAAGCCUGAUCCAGCAAUGCCGCGGGCAGGAAGAAGGCCUUCGGGUUGGAAACUGCUUUUGUACGGAGCGAAAAGGCUCUCUCUAAUACAGGGGGCUCAUGACGGUACCGUAAGAAUAAGCACCGGCUAACUACGUGCCAGCCGCCGCGGUAA